rnacentral:rRNA from 1 species
UACGAACCGUACAAACGUUAUUCGGAAUCACUGGGCUUAAAGGGUGCGUAGGCGGCCACGUAAGUGAGAUGUGAAAUCCCUCGGCUCAACCGAGGAAGUGCAUUUCAUACUGCAUGGCUUGAGGGAGACAGGGGUCAGCGGAACUGAUGGUGGAGCGGUGAAAUGCGUUGAUAUCGUCAGGAACACCGGUGGCGAAAGCGGCUGACUGGGUCUCUUCUGACGCUGAGGUACGAAAGCUAGGGUAGCGAACGGG